CUUAGUCUUCAUCUUCCUGAUGUUCUCAGGCACACACUCACCUCUGUGUAUUUUUUGGAAAGACAAGUUAUUCUCCCUUUUGUGAGGGGUGCCUGGAUCAUUGUGUUCAGUUCUAAGACUGGAGCUCAAGAAGAUGCUUGGGAUGGCUCCGUCUCGAAUCUGAGCCCAGCCGGUCACAGCCACCAUCUUGGAGCUUAUUACUGUGGGUAUCUCAUCGCCAGGUGGCCUUUCCGAGAAAGGAACUCUCAAAUCGUUGUGGAACCAUAUUUAUGAAGAAGACAUUGAGGUGCUGAUUAAUAGAACAAUAAAUGUUUCACACACAACAAAAGGUCUAGAGUUCAGGCAUGGGCAUUUGCAGGUGGUUCUGCCUCCACCUGCUCGGGAGGUUGCCAUCAACGUGUCAGCCAGAGCCACAGUUAUCCGAAGGCUCGACUGCAGCUGGGAGGACCUGCUUUUCUGGUGAUUCAGUC
ensembl:lncRNA